GCCAUUUUAAAUGCAAACUUUAACAGAAUUUGCAAUAAAGGAAGUGUAAACAUUACAUAACUCUUUACAGGAAGUGUUUAGGAAGGCUGUGCAAGUCACAUGCAGGGAGGUGUGAUUAGGGCUGUAUAAACAAAGUGAUUUACCCCUAAAUUACAGAGAUUUGAGCAGCGAGAGUACAGGGGCAUGAUCUAUACACCAAAGCUGCUUCAUUAAGCUAAAUUUGUUUUUGUGACUAUAG